AAGCCGCAGCGAACAAGCUGUAACAGGUUGUUAACAAAGUUCAUCAGCUGUCUCGUCUGAAUCCCUUGCUGUUCUUCUCGAUUCCCUCUAUAGGUUGUUAACAAAGUUCAUCAGCUAACUUGAUUGAAUGGAUCAAUAUGACUUGAUAGACAGAUACUCAGAUGGAAACGUCGGUUUGUCCAACAUUUUAGAUCACUUGCAUCCAAUUUUUGUACAUGUUUAGACCAGAAAGGGUUAGCACCGUUUUCAUUAUUGUUUUUGGGUUUCAGUUGAUGUAAAAGGCAAGAAUAUUAGAUCAGUUACUAAGAUCAGCAAUUGUUUCAUUUGGCGCACUCCUUAUGUAUCCUCGCUUAGUUUCUUUUGCCCUGUGGCAGGCUCAAAAUACAGCUUCAGAGGAACCAGUUCAAAGCUCAACCUGCAGGUCCAAAGAUGAGAAUGAGAAGCAUAACAAUAUCACUGAAGAGGCUUCAUGAUGAGCACACCCUGUUCCGAGGUGGCGAGGUGUAGUAAAAACGAGAGAGAAUAAAGGGAGGCUAGUUCAUGUAAAUAACUUUGAAUAAAAAAUAGUUGUUAAACUACUUGUUUAGAUCAGAUCAUUUGAUGUAAAUAAUGAUUUAUCGAAACCCGACGGCACUUUCUAAUUAUUCGUAUGCCAGGCUUUUCUUUAUAAUCUAUAAUAAGAUUUUCUUAGAUCGUCAAGUGCGCAAGCCCUUGGAGAGGAAUUGAGA
rnacentral:lncRNA from 1 species